UACAGAGGUCUCAAGCGUUGUUCGGAUUCAUUGGGCGUAAAGAGCUCGUAGGCGGCUUGUCGCGUCGUCUGUGAAAUCCCGUGGCUCAACUGCGGGUCUGCAGCCGAUACGGGCAGGCUAGAGUUCGGUAGGGGAGACUGGAAUUCCUGGUGUAGCGGUGAAAUGCGCAGAUAUCAGGAGGAACACCGAUGGCGAAGGCAGGUCUCUGGGCAGAUACUGACGCUGAGGUGCGAAAGCGUGGGGAGCAAACAGG
rnacentral:rRNA from 1 species